rnacentral:rRNA from 1 species
AACGUAGGUGGCGAGCGUUAUCCGGAUUUACUGGGCGUAAAGGGUGUGCAGGCUGCCCCUCAAGUGGUGUAUGAAAGGGCUCGGCUCAACCGGGCUAGGUUAUGCCAGACUGAGGGGCUAGAGAGCGAGAGCGGGACGUGGAAUUCCGGGUGUAGUGGUGAAAUGCGUAGAUAUCUGGAGGAACACCGGUGGCGAAGGCGGCAUCCUGGACCGGUAUUGACGCUGAGGCGCGAAAGCCAGGGGAGCAAACGGG